CGGGAAUUCGAUUAACGCGAAGAACCUUACCAAGGCUUGACAUACACCGGAAACGCCCAGAGAUGGUCGGCCCCCUUGUGGUCGGGUUACAGGUGGUGCAUGGUUGUCGUCAGCUCGUGUCGUGAGAUGUUGGGUUAAGUCCCGCAACGAGCGCAACCCUCGUUCUAUGUUGCCAGCGCGUUAUGGCGGGGACUCAUAGGAGACUGCCGGGGUCAACUCGGAGGAAGGUGGGGAUGACGUCAAAUCAUCAUGCCCCUUAUGUCUUGGGCUUCACGCAUGCUACAAUGGCCGGUACAAAGGGCUGCGAUACCGUAAGGUGGAGCGAAUCCCAAAAAGCCGGUCUCAGUUCGGAUUGAGGUCUGCAACUCGACCUCAUGAAGUCGGAGUCGCUAGUAAUCGCAGAUCAGCA
rnacentral:rRNA from 1 species